GCUGUUGUUAGGUGGCAAGGCGGAAGAAAGGAAGCAAGUUCUAGAAACAGCACAAAACCCUUGUCUUUGCCAGUGCUUUGCAGAGGAUCGACAUAAAGCCGGCUUCACUUGAGGGUGCUGUUGGUACUACACCUCCCUCCUCAUCAAUGGUCAUUCUGUCCCCGGGGCCUCACUGGAGUCCUGAGAAUGGUUGGGGCUGCAGAGUGAACAGUCUCCUGGCCCUUUAAAAAACACUCUGCGAACCUUCAGCUUGCGACAUCUUUCAUUCACAAUCUGUGCAAGGCUGCAGUUCAUUCCAAGAACAACUUUAGAUUUUUUUUUUAAGUCUGUUUUCAGAAUGGAAAAGAAAAGUGUGGAAUGAUAAGGUCCUCUGGGGGUGUAGUUCAUCGCUGGGAAUGACUUGGAAUGCGUUUUCCUGAUGAGUUAUGGGAGCAUGGACACAUAUCCUGUUUCCCUUUUCAAUUCAGAGAGAUUUUCACAUAGACGCCUGUUUAUGCCAGUUCGCUCAUUCUGUUUGCACUCCCUUUGCUAAAGCCUCUGAAAGGGAAUGCUGGCUCGGAGGUCCCAUCCCAGGUGUGAUGUGGGUCUCUGGAAAGACAGCUCUUGUUGUCUGUGAGAAUAGUCUGCAUCUCAUUUUUCACCCCUGCUUAAGGAGUUCCAGAAUGAGCGAUCGACUCUCCACAUACCAGAUGUUGUAAAGCAGAAUUUUGGAACAUUUGAAUCCCCUGAAGUUCAGCUGAGCAAACCAAACAUUCGCAGGAAAAAAUGUACUUGUGUAAUAGCUGAUGUGACUUCCUCAAUGAAGUGCAUCCUGAGCUGUGUGACUCAGUCCCUGGUGAAAUGAUACACUGUACUGUAAUUUUAUAACAACCCAACUGCAGGAUGCUAGAAAGGAGGCUCAGGUUUUGUUGAGAGGCUCAAGUUCUGGAAACAUACUUAAUGUUAACUUUUUUUUAUUAGACCCUUAAACUUUGUUAUUUUAUUUAAAAACAAAACCAUACAAUACAAAACAAACAACAACAAAAACCAAUUAGCAAUUCUACCAAAGUCCUUACAUGUUUAAGUCUCUUCAAAGCUCUCUAUAAGGCUCUGAUAUUCAUUUCAGGAAUACCAAUAUUUUGAAGAAUACACAUCUUAGGGGGUGGAAUUAGUCACUAUUGUCUUGUCCAAAUGUAAGCACACCAGGAUGGGAGAUGUAAAUAUCCACCGUUUAAAAGCAGCAGAGAGGCAGGCUAAUAUAUAUUUAAUGGAAAUGCUUCCCAGCCUUGAUGUACAUCUCCAACAAUGGAUUUUAAUGCAUGCAGAUCUCAGCUCUCCAUCCCUUCUUCUGCCCACCAUUCACCUGUGUUUGUAUAAUGGAAGCCAGUUUCUGCAGCUCUGGUUAACAUCUGUCUCAUGCAUGUGUGAUUACAAGCCAUUUUAACAACUAGUAAAACUACAGGUGUCUGGGUUUCAAUGUAACCAUUUAAAGAGAGGGGUUCCUGGGCCUCUGAUUAUUAUAUUUUAUAGCUGGCAGUGUUCCUGACACAGGCUGCCAGCUCAAGGGUUAAAUAUAUCUGUGUUGUACUCCCAUUAAUAAAGCCUCCAAAAGUCACUGGAAAGUAGAGUUUGAAACUUUGGCUCCAUCCAUUUUAUCCAGUUAUCUUUGCUGAAUGCAGAGACAAGUUCUUUCCACAAGUCUGACAGGACACGGAACUGGAUUGGGAAUGCUGGAUGGUAAAGUCAUUAAGUGUGUAU
rnacentral:lncRNA from 1 species